AAGGAUCAUUACCGAACUGUCAACACGAGCUGUUGCUGGCCCUUCAAGCGGGGGGCACGUGCACGCUCUGUUCACAAAUCCAUUCACACCUGUGCACCCUUGCAGUUCCGUGGUUUGGGGGGCCCUGUCCUCCUGCUGUGGCUCUGUUCCUUUACACACACCGUAUGAAGUCUUUUGGAAUGUGUGCCGCGUUUAACGCAAUACAAUACAACUUUCAGCAACGGAUCUCUUGGCUCUCGCAUCGAUGAAGAACGCAGCGAAAUGCGAUAAGUAAUGUGAAUUGCAGAAUUCAGUGAAUCAUCGAAUCUUUGAACGCACCUUGCGCCCUUUGGCUAUUCCGAAGGGCAUGCCUGUUUGAGUAUCAUGAACACCUCAACUCUCAUGGCUUGCCGUGAUGAGCUUGGACUUUGGGGGUUUUGCUGGCCCUGUGGUCAGCUCCUCUCAAACGCAUUAGCUUGCCAGUGUUUGGUGGCAUCACAGGUGUGAUAAUGUCUACGCUUGUGGUCGCCUGCCAAGUAAUCUUCAGCGAUGAAGGUUUGCUGGGGCUUCAAAACGUCUCUGCAGAGACAGCUUCUUGAACGUUUGAUCUCAAAUCAGGUAGGAUUACCCGCUGAACUUAA
rnacentral:rRNA from 1 species